rnacentral:rRNA from 1 species
CCCGCACAAGCGGUGGAGCAUGUGGUUUAAUUCGAAGCAACGCGAAGAACCUUACCAAAUCUUGACAUCCUUUGACAACUCUAGAGAUAGAGCUUUCCCCUUCGGGGGACAAAGUGACAGGUGGUGCAUGGUUGUCGUCAGCUCGUGUCGUGAGAUGUUGGGUUAAGUCCCGCAACGAGCGCAACCCUUAAGCUUAGUUGCCAUCAUUAAGUUGGGCACUCUAAGUUGACUGCCGGUGACAAACCGGAGGAAGGUGGGGAUGACGUCAAAUCAUCAUGCCCCUUAUGAUUUGGGCUACACACGUGCUACAAUGGACAAUACAAAGGGCAGCGAAACCGCGAGGUCAAGCAAAUCCCAUAAAGUUGUUCUCAGUUCGGAUUGUAGUCUGCAACUCGACUACAUGAAGCUGGAAUCGCUAGUAAUCGUAGAUCAGCAUGCUACGGUGAAUACGUUCCCGGGUCUUGUACACACCGCCCGUCACACCACGAGAGUUUGUAACACCCGAAGCCGGUGGAGUAACCUUUUAGGAGCUAGCCGUCGAAGGUGGGACAAAUGAUUGGGGUGAAGUCGUAACAAGGUAGCCGUAUCGGAAGGUGCGGCUGGAUCACCUCCUUU